CCGUGCUAAGCGGGGAGGUAGCGGUGCCCUGUACCCGCAAUCCGCUCUAGCGGGGCCGAAUCCCUUCUCGAGGUUCGUUUACUUUAAGGUCUGCCUUAAGUAAGUGGUGUUGACGUUUGGGUCCUGCGCAAUGGGAAUUCAUGAACCAUGUCAGGUCCGGAAGGAAGCAGCAUUAAGUGAAACCUCUCAUGUGCCGCAGGGUUGCCUGGGCCGAGCUAACUGCUUAAGUAACGCUUAGGGUAGCGAAUCGACAGAAGGUGCACGG
rnacentral:SRP_RNA from 8 species